GCAGUCGAGCGGAUGANGAAGAAGCUUGCUUCUUCUGAUUUUAGCGNNNNNNGGGUGAGUAACACGUGGGCAACCUACCUUGUAGAUUGGGAUAACUCCGGGAAACCGGGGCUAAUACCGAAUAAUCCAUUUUGCUUCAUGGCGAAAUGUUAAAAGGCGGCGAUCUCGCUGUCACUGCAAGAUGGGCCCGCGGCGCAUUAGCUAGUUGGUAAGGUAACGGCUUACCAAGGCGACGAUGCGUAGCCGACCUGAGAGGGUGAUCGGCCACACUGGGACUGAGACACGGCCCAGACUCCUACGGGAGGCAGCAGAAGGGAAUCUUCCACAAUGGACGAAAGUCUGAUGGAGCAACGCCGCGUGAGUGAAGAAGGUUUUCGGAUCGUAAAACUCUGUUGUAAGGGAAGAACACGUACGAGAGUAACUGCUCGUACCUUGACGGUACCUUAUUAGAAAGCCACGGCUAACUACGUGCCAGCAGCCGCGGUAAUACGUAGGUGGCAAGCGUUGUCCGGAAUUAUUGGGCGUAAAGCGCGCGCAGGCGGUCCUUUAAGCCUGAUGUGAAAGCCCACGGCUCAACCGUGGNNGGUCAUUGGAAACUGGGGGACUUGAGUACAGAAGAGGAAAGCGGAAUUCCAAGUGUAGCGGUGAAAUGCGUAGAGAUUUGGNNGAACANCAGUGGCGAANGNGGCUUU
rnacentral:rRNA from 1 species